rnacentral:lncRNA from 1 species
AUUAAAAUGGUUAACUUCAGACAUAAAAUAUUCAUUACUAUGUACUUAAAUGACACGUAAUGUGAUGAUACUAAGGAGUGCAAGGUGUGUUAACGUAAACGUACCGAGAAGUAAUAUAACUCGAUGUUUCAGUCGCUCAUCGAUUAAAACUAGAAUUGUGCCGCGAUUUUUUAAAUUUCCUAGCGUGCGAUCAUGCGGAAACAGUAGCAGAAAAAAAGAAAGAAAGAAAAAAGAACAUUCUGCUAUAGAAAAAUGGGGAAAUUCGAGCAGUAAACACGAUAAAUAAUAAUAACAAUAAAAAAGCGAUCUAAAUCGGGAUAGGCGGUUUCAACAGAAUUAGCGAUUCCAUUGAAAAAAAACGUAUGGCAACGCAAUUUACGGACUGACUACAAACUCGUACGAUUACGUUAAGGAACGAGUCGAGUUCUACUCAAACAUCAUCGAUAAAGACGUUUAUGGACCGAUAGAACGCAUUGUAGUAGUAAUAAAAGCUCAUUAAAACAACAUAUUUUCUGUUUUAGAAAUGCACGGUCGAGAUAAUAAAUCAUGAUAACGGAUAUUUAAGUAUGAAAAAUUAUUAUGCAAAGGAUUCAUUAAGUUGAUUUACUAACCAGUGAUAAAUUUUUGAAAUUUGUUUUUUUUUUUAUUCUUUUGAAUCAAUUUAUUUCAUUAGAAUGCUAUUCGAGAUUGAGUUCUUUUAAAUCUCAGUAUAUACAAUUUGAUUAAAAUGAUUUGUCUUAUAUCAUCAAACUACAGAAAUUUAGCAUAAUAGUUCAAGAAUAUAAAUCUCAGAUAUUACAUUAACAUUUAUCUUACUUUUGGAUAUUUGUCAAAUAUCUAAAAGUAAGAUAAAC